rnacentral:rRNA from 1 species
UACAGAGGUCCCAAGCGUUGUUCGGAUUUAUUGGGCGUAAAGAGCGUGUAGGCGGCCUGACAAGUCUGCUGUGAAAACUCGAGGCUCAACCUCGAGAUGUCGGCGGAAACUGUCUGGCUAGAGUCCGGAAGAGGAGAGUGGAAUUCCUGGUGUAGCGGUGAAAUGCGCAGAUAUCAGGAAGAACACCUAUGGCGAAGGCAGCUCUCUGGGACGGUACUGACGCUGAGACGCGAAAAGCGUGGGGAGCGAACAGG